AACGAACGCUGGCGGCAGGCCUAACACAUGCAAGUCGAGCGAGACCUUCGGGUCUAGCGGCGGACGGGUUAGUAACGCGUGGGAACGUACCCUUUUCUGCAGGAUAGCCACUGGAAACGGUGAGUAAUACUGCAUACGCCCUUUGGGGGAAAGAUUUAUCGGAGAAGGAUCGGCCCGCGUUAGAUUAGAUAGUUGGUGGGGUAAUGGCCUACCAGGUCUACGAUCUAUAGCUGGUUUGAGAGGAUGAUCAGCAACACUGGGACUGAGACACGGCCCAGACUCCUACGGGAGGCAGCAGUGGGGAAUCUUAGACAAUGGGCGCAAGCCUGAUCUAGCCAUGCCGCGUGAGUGAUGAAGGCCUUAGGGUCGUAAAGCUCUUUCGCCUGUGAAGAUAAUGACUGUAGCAGGUAAAGAAACCCCGGCUAACUCCGUGCCAGCAGCCGCGGUAAUACGGAGGGGGUUAGCGUUGUUCGGAAUUACUGGGCGUAAAGCGCGCGUAGGCGGACAUUUAAGUCAGAGGUGAAAUCCCAGGGCUCAACCCUGGAACUGCCUUUGAUACUGGGUGUCUUGAGUUCGAGAGAGGUGAGUGGAAUUCCGAGUGUAGAGGUGAAAUUCGUAGAUAUUCGGAGGAACACCAGUGGCGAAGGCGGCUCACUGGCUCGAUACUGACGCUGAGGUGCGAAAGUGUGGGGAGCAAACAGGAUUAGAUACCCUGGUAGUCCACACCGUAAACGAUGAAUGCCAGUCGUCGGGCAGUAUACUGUUCGGUGACACACCUAACGGAUUAGCGUUCCGCCUGGGGAGUANGGUCGCNAGAUU
rnacentral:rRNA from 1 species